GGAGCAUGUGGUUUAAUUCGAAGCAACGCGAAGAACCUUACCAGGCCUUGACAUCCAAUGAACUUUCCAGAGAUGGAUUGGUGCCUUCGGGAACAUUGAGACAGGUGCUGCAUGGCUGUCGUCAGCUCGUGUCGUGAGAUGUUGGGUUAAGUCCCGUAACGAGCGCAACCCUUGUCCUUAGUUACCAGCACGUCAUGGUGGGCACUCUAAGGAGACUGCCGGUGACAAACCGGAGGAAGGUGGGGAUGACGUCAAGUCCUCAUGGCCCUUACGGGCUGGGCUACACACGUGCUACAAUGGCGGUGACAAUGGGACGCAAAAGGGCAACCUCUCGCAAAUCUCAAAAAGCCGUCUCAGUUCGGAUUGGGCUCUGCGACUCGAGCCCAUGAAGUCGGAAUCGCUAGUAAUCGUGGAUCAGCAUGCCACGGUGAAUACGUUCCCGGGCCUUGUACACACCGCCCGUCACACCAUGGGAGUUGGUUUUACCUGAAGGCGGUACGCUAACCAGCAAUGGAGGCAGCCGACCACGGUAGGGUCAGCGACUGGGGU
rnacentral:rRNA from 1 species